rnacentral:rRNA from 1 species
CGUAGGUGGCAAGCGUUAUCCGGAUUUAUUGGGCGUAAAGCGAGCGCAGGCGGUUGCUUAGGUCUGAUGUGAAGCCUUCGGCUACCGAGAAGUGCAUCGGAAACCGGGCGACUUGAGUGCAGAAGAGGACAGUGGAACUCCAUGUGUAGCGGUGGAAUGCGCAGAUAUAUGGAAGAACACCAGUGGCGAAGGCGGCUGUCUGGUCUGCAAACUGACGCUGAGGCUCGAAGCAUGGGUAGCGAACAGGAUU